rnacentral:rRNA from 1 species
AUGGCGUACCGGGUGCUGGAGGUGACGCUGAUCUCGGCCAAGGACCUGAAGAAGGUGACGGUGUUCUCCAAGAUGCGCGUGUACGCGGUGGUGUCCAUCUCCGGCGGCGACCCGAGGACGCCGACGCACAGGACGCACUCGGACCGGCACGGCGGCCGGAACCCCAUGUGGCACGCGCCGCUGCGGUUCCCCAUCCCGGCCGCCGCCGACCCGCGGGGGCUGGCGCUGCACGUGCUCCUCCGCGCCGAGCGCUCCUUCGGCGACCGCGACGUCGGCGAGGUGGUGGUGCCGGUGCAGGACCUCGUCGCCGUCGCGCCACCCGCCGGCGAGCACCGGCACCUCAGCUACCAGGUGCGCAGCCCCAUGAGCGGGCGGAAGCGCGGCGUGCUCCACAUCUCCUACAGCCUCUCCGACGCGCCUGCGCCGACGGCGGCGGCGCCGGGCGACGCGCAGUACAUGCAGACGAACGCGGCGGCCAAGGCCGGCGCCGACGCGGUGACCGCGUACCCGCCGUACCACCACCAGCAGCACGCCGUGCCUCCGUACGGCUACAACCCCCCAUACGGGUACGCGGGGGCGUCGUACGGCUACGGCCCCGCUCCCUACGGGUACGGCGCGUCGUCCGCCGCGGCGGCCAGGCAAGACGGAGGCGUCGGGAUGGGCUCCGGGUUCGGGAUGGGGCUCCUCGGCGCGGCGGUCGGCGGGAUGAUGAUGGGCCUCGGCGAGGGCGUGGGCGAGAUCAUCGCCGACUCGGAGAUGAGCCUGGACGGCUGCUUCUGA